GUAUAAAAGAGACAAUAAACCCUCAGUUCGUUUUGUUCCUGCUUAACCCCCAAUACGUAGCCUCGUCUCGUUAUUGUAGGGAACUGCUAUAUUAACACUGGGGAUACUCCCCUGAGCUCUAAUCACUUAGCUCUUUUCAGAGCUGUUCCUGAUACGCUCUCCUGAAGGAGAGGUCUUUCCCACAUGGUCCUGGAGGACAGAGGCUGACCCAGGGUGGAAGGAAGACUCCAGUUAAACUACGGCGGUUGUGGAUUCUGCAGCGGUUGUGGUCUCCGGUGCGGUGCUUAUGGUCCUCUGCGUCAGCUAGGAAGCAUCCGUCAAUGGAAGGUACUCAGUCGGAGUACAGG